rnacentral:rRNA from 1 species
CCUACGGGAGGCAGCAGUGAGGAAUAUUGGUCAAUGGGCGCGAGCCUGAACCAGCCAAGUAGCGUGAAUGAUGACUUCUCUACGUGUUGUAAACUUCUUUUAUAAGGGAGUAAAUUGAGGCACGUGUCCCUUUUUGUAUGUACUUUUUGAAUCAGGAUCGGCUAACUCUGGGCCAGCAGCCGCGGUAAUACGGAGUGACCGAGCGUUAUCCGGAUUUAUUGGGUGUAAGGGGAGCGUAGAUGGGUUGCUAAGUCUGUUGUGAAAGCUUGGGGAUCAACCGUGAAAUUGCAAUUGAUACUGGGAGUCUUGAGUACAGUAGAGGUAGGCGGAAUUCGUGGUGUAGCGGUGAAAUGCGUAGAUAUCACGAAGAACUCCGAUUGCGAAGGCAGCUGACUAAACUGUCACUGACAUUGAUGCUCGAAAGUGUGGGUAGCAAACAGGAUUAGAUACCCUAGUAGUC